CCAGACUCCUACGGGAGGCAGCAGUGGGGAAUAUUGCACAAUGGGGGAAACCCUGAUGCAGCAACGCCGCGUGAGUGAAGAAGUAUUUCGGUAUGUAAAGCUCUAUCAGCAGGGAAGAAGAUGACGGUACCUGAUUAAGAAGCCCCGGCUAACUACGUGCCAGCGGCCGCGGUAAUACGUAGGGGGCAAGCGUUAUCCGGAUUUACUGGGUGUAAAGGGAGCGCAGACGGCAGUGCAAGUCUGGAGUGAAAGCCCGGGGCCCAACCCCGGAACUGCUCUGGAAACUGUGCGGCUAGAGUACUGGAGGGGCAGGCGGAAUUCCUGGUGUAGCGGUGAAAUGCGUAGAUAUCAGGAGGAACACCGGUGGCGAAGGCGGCCUGCUGGACUGCAACUGACGUUGAGGCCCGAAAGCGUGGGGAGCAAACAGGAUU
rnacentral:rRNA from 1 species